rfam:Populus trichocarpa scaffold_10_contig_198, whole genome shotgun sequence.
UCUAGAACUCGAGAUAUGGGCUGAACACGGAACAGUGUCUGGGCUGCAGAACAGAUUCGGACUUCUUUGUUGUUGCUACAAUUUGGACUUGAAAACGGCCUUGUUAAAUCUUGGGUUCCUCAUGAAAGUUGUAGGCCUAUGUCUUACCUUUCCAUA